rnacentral:rRNA from 1 species
AUUAUGGGGGUUAGAUACCCACUAUGCUUAGCCCUAAACACAGAUAAUUACAUAAACAAAAUUAUUCGCCAGAGUACUACUAGCAACAGCUUAAAACUCAAAGGACUUGGCGGUGCUUUAUAUCCUUCUAGAGGAGCCUGUUCUAUAAUCGAUAAACCCCGAUAAACCUCACCAAUUCUUGCUAAUACAGUCUAUAUACCGCCAUCUUCAGCAAACCCUAAAAAGGAAAAAAAGUAAGCGUAAUUAUGAUACAUAAAAACGUUAGGUCAAGGUGUAACCUAUGAAAUGGGAAGAAAUGGGCUACAUUCUCUACACUAAGAGAAUCAAGCACGAAAGUUAUUAUGAAACCAAUAACCAAAGGAGGAUUUAGCAGUAAACUAAGAAUAGAGUGCUUAGUUGAAUUAGGCCAUGAAGCACGCACACACCGCCCGUCACCCU